CCUGUGGAUAAUAUAUUGAGGUUAUUAUUUCUAAUGUAUUUUUCCAGUGUUCUACCUCGAGGUGUAAUGUUUCUUGAUCCCCAGAGCGUGUGCUUUGAGUUGUAGUCUCCCGCUGCGAUGUACUUGUCCCCUAGGUCCUGGAAGUAUUCUUCCCACAUUUGUGAUGUUAUUUUGUGUCGCGGAGGCACAUAUACUGCUGACAACUGGAAGUAGUUGCUGCUAGUUUGAACUGUAACGGUGGUUGCUUGUAAAUAUUCCUUCUUAACUUGGCUGUGUAGAUAAUGUUUGUUGAAGUGGUCACCACUUCUAGGAAAACGCAGUUCGUUCGUGAGUGCCGAGGCGUGCAGA
rnacentral:misc_RNA from 1 species